rnacentral:rRNA from 1 species
GUAGGUGGCAAGCGUUGUCCGGAAUUAUUGGGGCGUAAAGCGCGCGCAGGCGGCUCUUUAAGUCUGAUGUGAAAGCCCACGGGCUCAACCGUGGAGGGUCAUUGGAAACUGGAGAACUUGAGUACAGAAGAGGAAAGCGGAAUUCCACGUGUAGCGGUGAAAUGCGUAGAGAUGUGGAGGAACACCAGUGGCGAAGGCGGCUUUCUGGUCUGUAACUGACGCUGAGGCGCGAAAGCGUGGGGAGCAAACAGGAUUAGAUACCCUGGUAGUCCACGCCGUAAACGAUGAGUGCUAAGUGUUAGGGGGUUUCCGCCCCUUAGUGCUGCAGCUAACGCAUUAAGCACUCCGCCUGGGGAGUACGGCCGCAAAGGCUG